rnacentral:rRNA from 1 species
CCUACGGGAGGCAGCAGUGGGGAAUAUUGGGCAAUGGGCGCAAGCCUGACCCAGCAACGCCGCGUGAAGGAAGAAGGCUUUCGGGUUGUAAACUUCUUUUCUCAGGGACGAAGCAAGUGACGGUACCUGAGGAAUAAGCCACGGCUAACUACGUGCAAGCAGCCGCGGUAAUACGGAGGUGGCAAGCGUUAGCCGGAUUUACUGGGUGUAAAGGGAGUAUAGGCGGGAAAACAAGUCAGAUGUGAAAACCAUGGGCUCAACCUGUGGCCUGCAUUUGAAACUGUUUUUCUUGAGUACUGGAGAGGCAGACGGAAUUCCUAGUGUAGCGGUGAAAUGCGUAGAUAUUAGGAGGAACACCAGUGGCGAAGGCGGUCUGCUGGACAGCAACUGACGCUGAGGCGCGAAAGCGUGGGGAGCAAACAGGAUUAGAUACCCUUGUAGUC